rnacentral:rRNA from 1 species
UACAGAGGUCUCAAGCGUUGUUCGGAAUUACUGGGCGUAAAGGGCGCGUAGGCGGCCUUCUAAGUCAGACGUGAAAUCCCCCGGCUUAACCUGGGAACUGCGUCUGAUACUGGGAGGCUCGAGUAUGGGAGAGGGAUGUAGAAUUCCAGGUGUAGCGGUGAAAUGCGUAGAUAUCUGGAGGAACACCGGUGGCGAAGGCGGCAUCCUGGACCGGUAUUGGACGCGUGAGGCGCGAAAGCUAGGGGAGCAAACGGGG